rnacentral:rRNA from 1 species
UACAGAGGGUGCAAGCGUUAAUCGGAAUUACUGGGCGUAAAGCGCGCGUAGGUGGUUUGUUAAGUUGGAUGUGAAAUCCCCGGGCUCAACCUGGGAACUGCAUUCAAAACUGACAAGCUAGAGUAUGGUAGAGGGUGGUGGAAUUUCCUGUGUAGCGGUGAAAUGCGUAGAUAUAGGAAGGAACACCAGUGGCGAAGGCGACCACCUGGACUGAUACUGACACUGAGGUGCGAAAGCGUGGGGAGCAAACGAGUAUAACCGAACCGAGUCGUCC